UGCACAUCUAAUGGAAUGGGGCAGAGCUUUGUGGGAAGUUCAGAAGAGGUGCACUGUGGGACUUAGGGCACCUUUUAACAACAUGUGUCCAUCCGGAUCAGCCAGGCGAGUUCAUCUACUGCAAGUCCUCCAUGCCACAGGCUUACCAUGGAAACACAGGUUGCCACCCAUGAUGUUCUUCGGGUGCCCUGGUGAGGACAGAAUAACCGCAAGCCUGGCAGUGAAGUGGCUUUGGGAUGGAAGAGAGGAAAAGCCUCUCCUGCCCUAAAAUCAGAACCAUGAGCUCCCACAGACCCUAGGAGGCGGGAACCUCUGUCUUGUGCAGAAAGCUGCUGUGAGCUGCCUGAAGGGUGCGAUGGGACAGCGAAGGGAAGAAUGAGGACCCAUACCCAUCUCCCAUUUACCCACUGGCAGGACAAUGCCACCCGCCAUCACCAUCCUGGGCCCAGAGACAGCAGCAAUGACACCCCACACUCGAGAGAAAUGAGCCAAAUGAGUGCACUGAAUGACUGAAUGAACAGUGCUUUCUGUCCCUACAAUGGCUGCCUUGCUGUUAUGGAUAGAACAUUUGCAUCUCCCCCAGAUUCAUCCUUAUCCACCCAUGGGAUGGGACCAGGAGGGGGAGCCUUUGAGGGUAAGUGAGUCACAAGGAUUUUAGCCCCAGGAAAGGGAUUAAUGCCCCUGCAGCAAGUGGCCUGGAGCUCCUGCUAUACCAGGCCUCCCAGGGGCCAGGUGCCUUCUUGGGGAGUGAGUUCGUCCUACUGGGUCCUGGUGACCAACCAGACCUGGGAAGGACAGCAGCACAGCCAUCACAACCAUCCAUCAUAGCAGUGGGCAGGACCUCGGCCUAGGGCCAAAGCGCGGCACAGAGACGGCAC
rnacentral:lncRNA from 1 species